rnacentral:misc_RNA from 1 species
CCGAGCGUCAUUUCACCACUCCAGCCUCGCUGGGCCUUGGGCGUCGCCGCGUGUCGGCGCGCCCCAAUGUCUCCGGCUGAGCCGUCCGUCUCAAAGCGUUGUGGCAACUCAAUCCGCUCGAGGGAUCGGACGGUUUGACGCCGUCAAACCACCAUACAAAGGUUGACCUCGGAUCAGGUAGGGAUACCCGCUGAACUUAA